AGGGUCCAAAAUUAAACUUAGUUUGAUUUUAACAAAAAUUGAAUUUUUAGGGUUCUUUGAAAUGCUGAAUCUAAACAUGUAUUUAGAUUUUUGAUUAUGGGCCCAGUUUUCAAGUUGGUCCAAAUCGGGGUCCAAAAUUAAACUUUGUUUGAUUUCAACAAAAAUUGAAUAUAUGGGGUUCUUUGAUAUGCUGAAUCUAACCAUGUAUUUAGAUUUUUGAUUUUUGGGCCUCGUUAUCAACUUUGUCCACAUUGAGGUCAAAAGGGUCCAAAAUUAAACUUUGUUUGAUUUCAUCAAAAAUUGAAUUCUUGGGGUUCUUUGAUAUGCUGAAUCUAACCAUGUAUUUAGAUUUUGGAUAUUGGACCAUAAUAGGUGAAUGUCCAAUUUAAAAUUUUUAAGUUCUUAGACCACAUUCAUUCUGUGUCAGAAACCUAUGCUGUGUCAAAUAUUUAAUCACAAUCCAAAUUCAGAGCUGUAUCAAGCUUGAAUGUUGUGUCCAUACUUGCCCCAACUGUUCAGGGUUCGACCUCUGCGGUCGUAUCAAGCUGCGCCCUGCGGAGCAUUUUAUUAUUUAUUGUUCCAGCAUUUUCAUGUCACAUCUAGGACAUACACUGAAGUAUUUUUGAAUUCUUUGAAGGCAUAUCCCAUUUUCAUAUGGCUAGGAGUUCAACUAUACUCCUAAUAUUGUUUCUCUUUAGAAGGUAAUGACUUUUAGAUUUUCCUUGUAAAUCUGGGAAAUUGAAAUCUUCAUUAAGACACAGUUGCUGAAGAUAUCUAUAUGAAGAUGAUGAUCUGAUUUAUGUGAUACUUUUCACCAUUAUAAUGGGUUUUAUUAGUAUACAAUAUAACAUAGUACAUACAAAUGUGGGCAAUAUAUUAGUUUUAAUUUUAAUUUUAAAAGAGAAUUUGUAGUUAUGUGAUUCCAUUUUGUAUGUGAUAACUACUUUCUAACAAAUAGGAUUCUGGUCCAACAUACUUCUUUCUAAAGAUUAAAUGAAAUUUUUAUUGUAUAAGAUUUAUUCAGAAAAUUAACCAAGACAGUAUGAGCAAGAUAGUGUAGCAAGUAAAAUAUUGAUUUUCCUGGUUCAAAGGUUACUGAUAUUACAGUGUAGUAUUGGCCUUUUAAAAAUAAGGAGAUGUGGUAUGAUUGCCAAAGAGACAACUAUCCACUAGAGUUCAAAAGAGGUGAAUUAAAGCAAAUAAACGGUCAUGACAAAAAUGUUAUACAAUUAAAAUAAGAAAACCAAAAGUCUAUUAAUUGUUUGAAAUAUAAAAGGUUCGUAAUUAUUUUAUUAUCUCAUUAAUUAGAAUAAUAUUAUUACAAUGUAUUAUUGAAAUUAAAAUUACAACACAAUUGUGCACAUCAAAAUCUAUAUAAAGAGUUGAAGCAUUUAUACCAUAAAGAUGAAGGAUAAAGUGAUAGCUAAAAUGACCAGGAUGAAUAUAUAGAAUGUGUUGCUGGUAAACAUUACAUAUACAAAGUUUCACAUAGUUGAAGGCCAUAAGGUGACCUGUAGUUGCUCACACAAUACAUAAUUUGGUCUCUGGUGAGAAGUUUUCACAUAGGCAAUGAUACCACAUCUUCUUAUUUUAUAUUUAUUUGUGUUACUUAUUUAAAUGUAAUGACUUAAGGAAACUAAUUAUGUUAUGAAUAAAAGGAGGAAAGAAUGUCAGAUUGUGUUCAAGGGUUUGUUAAUUUUUAAAGCUGCCAAAUUCAUGUCCAAAAUCUCAAAUUUGAUUUACUGCAUAUUGUUUCAGAAUUUCAAAAAAUCUUUAAGACUCAAUAAACUGUGCAUGGAAUCUUAAAAAAAAUAUGAACAUUUGGGACUGGAUGCCAUCUUAUUAACCAUAUAUAUGGCCCAAUAAGAUUGCUGAUGGCCAUGUGACCAUGAUAUAAAUAUUAUUAGAUAAUACAAACAGAUUAAUAUAAAAUUAUUCAAUAUUCCGUUCCUGUACAUGUUUGAAAAAACAACUUCAUAUUUUUCACCUUCAUAGCUUAUGGCACUUUAUGUAACUGUAGACUUGGUCUCAUAGAAUGACCAGUUGUAUAAUUGUAUCAGAAAUGAGUUUUCCUGUAUUGAGUGCAAAUUUUUCAGCUAUCCUGUUAAAUAAGUCUAUAUUGUUCUUUGUUUAUCAUCUGUUUGCAUGCUUUUUUCAUAUUUAUUGACCUUGAAGUACAUGUCCAUUGUGUGGAACAAGUUCCUUAUAGUUUUGAUAAGUUAUUUCAUUUACUUAGUAUCAUUCAUGUUAUUUCCUUUGUAAAUGAGACAUAAUAAGUUGUUUUAUGUCAAAAUAGAGAUGAUUUACAAACCUGUAGUAUAAAUGAUUGACUGAAUAAAAGGUAGUGAUAGUUGUUGAUAGUUAUUAGAUAAUUUGUGUUAUUAUAUUUUUUAUUUUCGCUAACUCUGUGAUAUUUAGGCAAUAAAAUUGUACUUACCACCA